AACGAACGCUGGCGGCAGGCCUAACACAUGCAAGUCGAACGCUCCAGCAAUGGAGAGUGGCAGACGGGUGAGUAACGCGUGGGAACCUUCCCUAUGGUUCGGAAUAGCUCAGGGAAACUUGAGGUAAUACCGGAUAAGCCCUUCGGGGAAGGAUUAUCGCCAUUGGAUGGGCCCGCGUAGGAUUAGCUAGUUGGUGAGGUAACGGCUCACCAAGGCGACGAUCCUUAGCUGGUCUGAGAGGAUGAUCAGCCACACU
rnacentral:rRNA from 1 species